CGAUUAUUUCGCGUUCUCGUAUGCAUAUAAAGGAGAAAGCAGAAAAUGUGUAUAUCUUUUCCGCUUCAGACGCGACAAUAGACGGAUGGAUGAUGAAUAGUUAAAUGGCAACGAGCCGAACGCCUACAUCUCGUAGGAUUCCACCCAGCUGAUCGAGAAUGUAUAUAGUUUCCGUUAAGCUCCGAAGAAGCGAACAGGACUAUUGGCGAAACUUCAGCAAGUUCGAUUUAUCAACAACCAACGCAGGAACGAUCCAGACGAUUUGUAAAUAGUAUUACAGUAGCCUGUGGAAGUUUCUCUGAAAAAUUCAAUAAAUUAUCCAAUAUUCC